AUUGCCUUAGUAACGGCGAGUGAAGCGGCAAAAGCUCAGAUUUGAAAUCUGGUGUCAAAUUGAUACCCGAGUUGUAAUCUGUAGAGGAGUUUUUCGGAGUAUGGCUUUGGUUAAAGUUCCUUGGAAAAGGGCAUCAUAGAGGGUGAGAAUCCUGUUUGUGACCUUAUCUAUCUCCAUUAUGAAUCUCCUUCAAUGAGUCGAGUUGUUUGGGAAUGCAGCUCUAAAUGGGUGGUAAAUUCCAUCUAAAGCUAAAUAUUGGCAAGAGACCGAUAGCGCACAAGUAGAGUGAUCGAAAGAUGAAAAGAACUCUGAACAGAGAGUUAAAGAGUACGUGAAAUUGUUGAAAGGGAAGCACUUGUGACCAGACAAAUUUGCAAUUAAUCAGCCAUCAAUUUUUUGAUGGUGCACUUAAUUGCAGGUGGGUCAGCAUCAGUUAUAGCAGUGGAAAAAAGACCAAAGGAAUGUAGCUCCUCUUUGAGGAGUGUUAUAGCCUUUGGUUUAAUACUGCUUGCUAUGACUGAGGAUAGCACUUCUUGUAAGGAUGCUGACAUAAUGGUCAUAAGUGACCCGUCUUGAAACACGGACCAAGGAGUCUAACAUCUAUGCGAGUGUUUGGGUUCAAGCCCUUAUGCAAAAUGAAAGUGAAUGGAGGUGGAAACCAUUAGGUGCACCAUCGACCGAUCUUGAAGUUUUCUGAUGGAUUUGAGUAGG
rnacentral:rRNA from 1 species